CAAUAGCGUAUAUUUAAGUUGUUGCAGUUAAAAAGCUCGUAGUUGGAUUUCGGGUGGGACGCAGCGGUCUCGCAUUGCGUUUGUACUGCUGCAGCCCUCCUUCUUGCCGGGGGCGGCCUCUCGGACUUCACUGUCUGGGGGUCAGAAUCGGCGAUGUUACUUUGAGUAAAUUAGAGUGUUCAAAGCAAGCCUACGCUCUGAAUACAUUAGCAUGGAAUAACACGAUAGGACUCUGGCUUAUCUUGUUGGUCUGUGAGACCAGAGUAAUGAUUAAGAGGGACAGUCGGGGACAUUCGUAUUUCAUUGUCAGAGGUGAAAUUCUUGGAUUUAUGAAAGACGAACUUCUGCGAAAGCAUUUGUCAAGGAUGUUUUCAUUAA
rnacentral:rRNA from 1 species